AUCAGAUCCCUGUGACUCUCCUCCAUCUCCGUCCACCCCGGCGCACCUCACGCCUAUGUCCUCCCCCUCCCCGGCGCACAAGGCCACGGCCACCGGCCUUCCACCUACUCGCCGCUCUGAUGAGGACACGCCGUGCCGCCGUCGCCCCCUCCUGCUCACGCUAGCGAGACUUGCACCAAAUUUCUAAUCACAUGAAUGUCUAAGUGAGGGAAGAUGGAGGCGAUGGCGACGACACAUAGGCGACAGCGGAGGCAAUGGUGGUCUGGGUGCUGGUGGCCGCUGUGAUGGGCAACGCAUUCACCCCUGGACCACAAGCCACUCAUGGAUGCCUCUACCCGCAA